rnacentral:rRNA from 1 species
GAUGAACGCUGGCGGCGUGCCUAAUACAUGCCAGUCGAGCGAACAGACGAGGAGCUUGCUCCUUUGACGUUAGCGGCGGACGGGAGAGCAACACGUGGAUAACGCACCUAUAAGACUGGGAUAACUUCGGGAAACCGGAGCUAAUACCGGAUAAUAUAUUGAAGCGUAUGGUUGAAUAGUGAAAGACGGCUUUGCUGUCACUUAUCGAUGGAUCCGCGCCGCAUUAGCUAGUUGGUAAGGUAACGGCUUAUCAAGGCGAGGAGGCGUAGGCGACCUGAGAGGGUGAUCGGCCACACUGGAGCUGAGACGCGGUCCAGGCUACUGCGGGAGGCAGCAGUAGGGAAUCUUCCGCAAUGGGCGAGAGCCUGACGGAGCAGCGCCGCGUGAGUGAUGAAGGUCUUCGGAUCGUAAAACUCUGUUAUUAGGGAAGAACAAAUGUGUAAGUAACUAUGCACGUCUUGACGGUACCUAAUCAGAAAGCCACGGCUAACUACGUG